UGGGUUUGACAUACGCCGGAAAGCAUCAGAGAUGGUGCCCCUUUUUGUCGGUGUACAGGUGGUGCAUGGCUGUCGUCAGCUCGUGUCGUGAGAUGUUGGGUUAAGUCCCGCAACGAGCGCAACCCUCGUUCCAUGUUGCCAGCAGGCCCUUCGGGGUGCUGGGGACUCAUGGGAGACUGCCGGGGUCAACUCGGAGGAAGGUGGGGAUGACGUCAAGUCAUCAUGCCCCUUAUGUCCAGGG
rnacentral:rRNA from 1 species